GUCAGGAGAACAUUAAUUGUUUUACUAAAUCAGCUUCAAUCAGCUGGAAGGAGAAUUUAAAUCCAUCCUUCUGGACUAAAUCACAGAAUCUUAACCGUCUCCUGCUGGACAUGCAGACUGGGUCACUUUUUUCUAAGAUUUGUAACAAGCAGAGUUUGUAACAUCUGAUCCACCAAACCUGCUUCCUCUCCACCAGGGGGCGACAUGCUCCAGCAGGCGGCGCUCUCCUUGUGCUCUGUGCUCCAGCAUCGUGUCAAUAAGAAGUGGUGCUGUGAAGAGAACAACAGUCAGACUGAAUGUUGAACAUCAGCUGCUUUCUCCUGCUGGUUUAAACCUUGUUGGACAGAUGGAACAUUGGCUGUGGAUUAUUCUGGCUGCUCUUUUCUCUGAGUGUAAAGGAGACUCAGUGACGCAGACAGAAAGAGAAGUUGUUGCUGCUGCAGGAGAAACUCGGACUCUGGGAUGUACCUUUGAAGCCAGUGGUACAAAUUAUGCCUUGUUCUGGUAUAAACAAGAAGAAAACAGUUUCCCAAAGUACAUGUUGAAAGAAUAUGUGAAGGUACCAGACAAAGCUCCAGAGUUCGACAGCAACAGAUUCAAUGCAGAGAUCAACGACAAAUCCUUCAACCUGAAGAUCCAGGAUCUCCGUCUGUCAGACUCUGCUGUGUACUACUGCGCUCUGCAGCCCACAGUGACAGGAAACACCAGAACCCUGUACAAAAUCCUGCAGUACUCCACAGCGGCCACUAGAGGGCCUCACUCCCUGUUAAACCACUAAAACCUGCAGUACUCCACAGCAGCCACUAGAGGGCCUCACUCCCUGUUAAUCCUCUGGUUGUUGAGUCUUUGGACUGAAGACAACAGAGACAUGAAGCAGUAAAGAUCAGAGACAGAGCUGCUGAGGAAGCAGAAAACUCUCUGAUUGG